AGCUCUGUGCAGUGGCAGUAUUGUAGCCAGUGAGGUUUAUACAAGGUGCGAUUGUUGCUAAUUGAAAAAUAAAUGGGACUGUUUUGUGCAACAUAGAGAAUUUUGCUAUGUAAGAAAU
rnacentral:snRNA from 1 species